AUAGAAUAAGAUCUUUGGUCUGGGUUGAUAAAGCUAGAGUUCAAUUUUUUAUCAAUAGUUUUUCUAAUUUUAGUUUGUGUUUUUGUUUUGGGCUUUUGGCUCCUUCUGUAUCUGGAAAAAAAAAUUAGCAAAGAAUUUUGUUCAAUAGGUUGGACGGAUUAGAUCAAGAUAGUUGAUGAAUAUGGUGAAGUGUUGGUAUGUUACGUCUUAUUUGAUUGUCAAAGAGAGAGGGG
rnacentral:lncRNA from 1 species